UGGGGAAUAUUGGACAAUGGGCGCAAGCCUGAUCCAGCCAUGCCGCGUGGAUGAUGAAGGCCCUAGGGUUGUAAAGUCCUUUUCGACGGGGAAGAUAAUGACGGUACCCGUAGAAGAAGCCCCGGCUAACUUCGUGCCAGCAGCCGCGGUAAUACGAAGGGGGCUAGCGUUGCUCGGAAUCACUGGGCGUAAAGCGCACGUAGGCGGAUUUCUAAGUCGGUAGUGAAAUCCUGGAGCUCAACUCCAGAACUGCCUCCGAUACUGGGAGUCUUCGAGUCCGGGAGAGGUGAGUGGAACUGCGAGUGUAGAGGUGAAAUUCGUAGAUAUUCGCAAGAACACCAGUGGCGAAGGCGGCUCACUGGCCCGGUACUGACGCUGAGGUGCGAAAGCGUGGGGAGCAAACAGGAUUAGAUACCCCAGUAGUCCCUGAGCGGGCUGGCAAGGCGCAU
rnacentral:rRNA from 1 species